UACAGAGGGUGCAAGCGUUGUUCGGAAUCAUUGGGCGUAAAGCGUACGUAGGCUGCCUACUAAGUCAGGUGUGAAAGCCCCGGGCUCAACCCGGGAAGUGCAUUUGAAACUGGUGGGCUUGAAUGUCGGAGAGGGCAGUGGAAUUCCGAGUGUAGAGGUGAAAUUCGUAGAUAUUCGGAGGAACACCAGUGGCGAAGGCGACUGCCUGGACGAACAUUGACGCUGAGGUACGAAAGCGUGGGGAGCAAACAGG
rnacentral:rRNA from 1 species